GAGGGGCUCCUACAUUGGGACUUUGGCCCUGGCCUUGCCUUGGCUGAUCAGGUGAGAAGAUUAUUUGGCUCCACGGUUCAUUUCUCCCCCUCCCGAGACUGCAAAGAGUUCUUCUUGGUGGUCUCCUUCUCUUCGGCCUCUUUCCCUCUCUCUCCUGAUUCUGUGGGCAUUGCUCUACAAUGCUGCAUUGGU
rnacentral:rRNA from 1 species